rnacentral:rRNA from 1 species
GACGAACGCUGGCGGCGUGCCUAAUACAUGCAAGUUGAGCGCUGAAGGUUGGUACUUGUACCCACUGGAUGAGCAGCGAACGGGUGAGUAACGCGUGGGGAAUCUGCCUUUGAGCGGGGGACAACAUUUGGAAACGAAUGCUAAUACCGCAUAAAAACUUUAAACACAAGUUUUAAGUUUGAAAGAUGCAAUUGCAUCACUCAAAGAUGAUCCCGCGUUGUAUUAGCUAGUUGGUGAGGUAAAGGCUCACCAAGGCGAUGAUACAUAGCCGACCUGAGAGGGUGAUCGGCCACAUUGGGACUGAGACACGGCCCAAACUCCUACGGGAGGCAGCAGUAGGGAAUCUUCGGCAAUGGACGAAAGUCUGGCCGAGCAACGCCGCGUGAGUGAAGAAGGGUUUCGGAUCGUAAAAAUCUGUUGGUAGAGAAGAACGUUGGUGAGAGUGGAAAGCUCAUCAAGUGACGGUAACUACCCAGAAAGGGACGGCUAACUACGUG